ACGGGUUCACCCUUUGGGGGCUUCUGGCGGGGGUAAUGAAGGCAGGGCAGGAAGUGAGUAGAGAAAGCUUACCUAUUUCUCCAAGCUGCUGAAAAGCUUGUUGGUGAAGAAUUACUUGUCGGUGAAGAGACUGUUGUUGAGGUGAGGAGUGCCCUGUGUUAUGGCACCUCCCAGCACUGCUACACCAACCUGCAAAUAUGUGUCCACUCUCAAAGUCUUGUGCCGGGAAAGACAGCAUGGGAUAAUAUAUUAUGAAAUCUCUCUCUCUAUCAAGGGCUGUAUAAUUAAGAUAAUUAAUUGAUACUCUCUCUCUCAUAUUUGUUUUUUUACAUACUUUUCUUCCUCUACCCUCCCUCUCUCUCUCUCUCUCCUCAUAACUCUAUACAUACAGCCAGGCCUAUACUUUGAGGCAGUGCCAACCACUGCACCACGAAGCCACCCCCCCAAAAAAACUAUAUGGAACUCAAUAUUCCAUUAAUUUCAUAAAAUAUGUCCUUUCUGUUGAAUAUUGAUAUCUGAAACAGUUGGCAACAUUAGCACAAGAGAACUCACUAAACUCAGUACAUGUAUUUUCCACCAGUUGGUCAGUCACAGUCAGUGCCUCGGCAGUUUGCUUUUGUGAGAUUACCAGCUCAGUGGCAUCUACGUGUAUGCUUGUUAAGUCCUGUUGCUUUCUUUGCUUUACCAGAGACAUACAAAGUGAGAUUCAAAGGGUUAACCUGAAAAAGGGUUUUCCUGCAGCUGAUCAGCUGGCAGACCAAAGCUUACUAACCUAUCUUUUUAAAAUUCCCUCAGUGUUGGAGGAAAGGCAAGAGCAGGAAUUUAGCAAGUACAAUAACUUUAUAUCGAGAGUUCAAAACUUUAAAUAGUGAUUUCAAGGAUUAAUUCAUAUCAAUUGUCAAAGCCUACUUAUAAAUUUAUAAUAAUGUAGGAUUCUUGUUGUUUUGUGGUAUAUACCUUGAAGAGAAUAAAUGAAUCAUUGCAAAUGAAUACGUUGUUUUCCUUUACCAUCUUUGGAGCACACCAUUUAACUCAUGGAAUACUUUUACUAAAAAAAAUAAAAAAAUAAAAAUAAAAAUCAUGAUUUUGUUUGGUGAUAACAAUCAUGAUUUUUAAGUAAAGAAAUCAAAGAUUUAAUCAUCUGAUUAAAUCAAUUUGAUUUAAUCAUUGCCAACCCUGCUUAGGCGAUUAUUUUUUUAGUGACAAAUUUUGCUAUUAUCCAGAAAGCUACAUAUUCAAGGCACUGUACAGGGGAUCCUCAGCUAUGAUGCCCUCCACCUAUGACUAUUUCAAGGUUAUGACACAACCCACAAAUUAUUAAGUUUGGAAAGUUUGGUUUUGUGGGCAGCACAACAUCUGUGGUCAUAUGCCGGAGAGAGACAGGAGGGGGAAGGAAUUAUAGGAGAAGGGAACAGGGCCCAGGAGACGGGACACAGCCCCCGAUUAAUACCUGGUACACUGCUGGGUGGACAGGGGCUAUGUAGGGUAUCGGAAAAGCCGCCCAAAUUUUUCCACUCCGCCUGGGAAUCGAACCCGGGCUCUCUCGGUUGUGACCCGAGUGUGCUAACCACUGCACCACAAAGCCCCCCUGCAAAUAUGUGUCCACUGUCAAAGUCUUGUAUUGGGAAAGACAGCACUGGAUAAGAUAUUUUACAGUCUCUCUCUAUCAAGGACUGUAAAUUAACCCUUUGGUUGCUAAAUAUAUUAUAUAUAAAGCAUUUGUGAUCAGAUUAUGUAUCAUCUAUUUUGGGGGGUUUAUAUCAUGGCACAAAUUUGGCCCGUCACUGCUACACGGUAAAGCCACAAAUUUGGCCCGUCGCUGCUAUAUGGUUAAGCCACAAAUUUGGCCCGUCGCUGCUAUAUGGUUAAGCCACAAAUUUGGCCCGUCGCUGCUAUAUGGUUAAGCCACAAAUUUGGCCCGUCGCUGCUAUAUGGUUAAGCCACAAAUUUGGCCCGUCGCUGCUACACGGUAAAGCCACAAAUUUGGCCCAUCGCUGCUACACGGUUAAGCCACAAAUUUGGCCCGUCGCUGCUAUAUGGUAAAGACACAGGUUUGGCCCAUCGCUGCUACAUGGUAAAGCCACAAAUUUGGCCCGUCACUGCUACACGGUAAAGACACAGGUUUGGCCCAUCACUGCUACACGGUAAAGCCACAAAUUUGAUGUGUCGCUGCUACCGAGUUAAGAAACAUGAUCCCCACAGCUACCGGGUUAACCGUACCUGCCGUGCACUCUACUACCACAAUGAAAUAAAACAAAUAUAUACUGCGUUGCACCCCAAGACAAUAUUUUAAAAGGCGGGGAGUAUGGAGAUGACCGUAGCCACCUCUCCCGCCAGUGACAUCAACGGCAGUGUGGUGAGAGGCCUAUCCUGCCUAUUUAUCCUAAACAAGUGGGUGUUAUUCCAGAAAAAACACCCAAGUCUCAUCACUUCACACUUAUUUAUAUAUUCAAGGGCUGAAAAAUAUCGGAAACAUUAACAAAAACAAUGCCCGGUCACCACUAAGUUAUCCUAACCUUGGAUAACUUAGAUUUUAACAUAACCUCCUGUGAGAGCAAGAUAAAAAUUGACAGACAAAAUAGGUCAAUUCCGGCCCUUACGGUACCAUGAGCAGACCUCUAGAAUAACACCCGAUGGUCUAGGAUAAAAAAGUUGGAAAAUUUCAUUUAGUUGGCGCAACAUCUGUGGUCAUAUGCCGGAGAGAGACAGAAGGGGAAGGAAUUAUAGGAACACAAAGGAACACAAAGGAAGAACAAACAACAGCAGACCUGCUGGUCCUUACGAGGUUGUUUGUGACAAGCUACACUAACUAUCUAAUCAAAGGUGGAAGAUGAAGGACAGCAAAGGCGAAGGCUCCUCCCCACCCCCCCAUCCCUCCAGCCAAAGCUGGCAGGAAAGGAAAAAGAACCAUGCAGCAUGGAAAAA